GACGAACGCUGGCGGCGUGCUUAACACAUGCAAGUCGAGCGGUAAGGCCCUUUCGGGGGUACACGAGCGGCGAACGGGUGAGUAACACGUGGGUGACCUGCCCUCAGCUCUGGGAUAAGCCUGGGAAACCGGGUCUAAUACUGGAUAUGACUCCAUGACGCAUGUUGUGGGGUGGAAAGCCUUGUGCGGCUGAGGAUGGGCCCGCGGCCUAUCAGCUUGUUGGUGGGGUGANGGCCUACCAAGGCGACGACGGGUAGCCGGCCUGAGAGGGCGACCGGCCACACUGGGACUGAGACACGGCCCAGACUCCUACAGGAGGCAGCAGUGGGGAAUCUUGCGCAAUGGGCGAAAGCCUGACGCAGCGACGCCGCGUGAGGGAUGACGGCCU
rnacentral:rRNA from 1 species